UACGAAGGGGACUAGCGUUGUUCGGAAUUACUGGGCGUAAAGCGCACGUAGGUGGGUUGUUAAGUCAGGGGUGAAAUCCUGGAGCUCAACUCCAGAACUGCCUUUGAUACUGGCAACCUAGAGACUGGAAGAGGUUAGUGGAAUUCCCAGUGUAGAGGUGAAAUUCGUAGAUAUUGGGAAGAACACCAGUGGCGAAGGCGGCUAACUGGUCCAGCACUGACGCUGAGGUGCGAAAGCGUGGGGAGCAAACAGG
rnacentral:rRNA from 1 species